GUGCCUAUCAGUUAAGUUUGAUUUUCACCUUUAUCUCUAACAGAUUCAUGGAAGACUUCUAAAGGAAUAAGGGUGGAAGAACAGUCAUAGAAAAAAGGAAAAUACUGAAGUGUCAUUUCACUACGUCUCUAUAAUAUAUUUGACAAAAAAAAGAGUAAAGCACUGCAUAUAUGUCACAAUGUAUAAUACACAAAAGAAUUUUUAUUGUUGUUUUUAGUUGUUUAUUUUUGUUUUUGCUGUACUUUUCAAGACAACAUUACUUUAAACAAGCAUACCUUCAAACACUAGCAGUUUUACUUCAGUUAAUUGAUAAUUAAAACAACAAACAUGUUUUUCAUACAGCUAGAUAGGCCCUCAAACUUAUCAUGUCUUAAAUUUUUCUACUUUGGUUACACCUUAUAACAAGAAUUGGACUUUGUACUACCUAAAAUUUAUGUAUUAAUACGAUACAUUUUCUAAUUUUUUAAAUUCAUUUUCUGGUAGCUUUGUUUGUUUGUUUUUAAACAGGAUCUUACACUGUCACCCAGGCUGGAGUGUAGUGGCACAAUCGCGGCCCACUGCUGCCUUAACCUCCCACGCAUAAGCCAUCCUCCUACCUCAGCCUCCUGAGUAGCUGGAACUACUGGCACAUGCCACCUCACCCAGAUAAUUUGUUAAUUUUUGUAGAGAUGAGUUUUUGUCAUGUUGCCCAGGCUGGCCUUGAACUCCUGGGCUCAAGAAAUCUGACCACCUUGGCCUCCCAAAGUGUUGGGAUUACAGACGUGAGCCACCAUGCCCGGACUUCUUGUGUAAUUUUUUAAAAAAAUGUUAAUGAUUAAAGUGCUAAUGCUAUAGGGACUUUAAGGAUGAUAUUUAAGAGACUCCACAGUAAAAUAUAUCUAAUUUCUCAGUAUUAUUUUUUAUUACUCCAGUGGUACACCAAGUUUUUAAUGUAACUCACAAAUAGAGUACAUUAAAGAAAUAUAACAGAAAAAAAA
rnacentral:lncRNA from 1 species